AUUGAACGCUGGCGGCAUGCUUUACACAUGCAAGUCGAACGGUAACAGGCCGCAAGGUGCUGACGAGUGGCGAACGGGUGAGUAAUGCAUCGGAACGUGCCCAGUCGUGGGGGAUAACGCAGCGAAAGCUGUGCUAAUACCGCAUACGAUCUAUGGAUGAAAGCGGGGGACCGUAAGGCCUCGCGCGAUUGGAGCGGCCGAUGUCAGAUUAGGUAGUUGGUGGGGUAAAGGCCUACCAAGCCGACGAUCUGUAGCUGGUCUGAGAGGACGACCAGCCACACGGGGACGGAGACACGGCCCAGACUCCUACGGGAGGCAGCAGUGGGGAAUUUUGGACAAUGGGCGCAAGCCUGAUCCAGCAAUGCCGCGUGCAGGAAGAAGGCCUUCGGGUUGUAAACUGCUUUUGUACGGAACGAAACGGUCUGGGUUAAUACCCUGGGCUAAUGACGGUACCGUAAGAAUAAGCACCGGCUAACUACGUGCCAGCAGCCGCAGUAAAAC
rnacentral:rRNA from 1 species